rnacentral:rRNA from 1 species
AUUGAACGCUGGCGGCAGGCCUAACACAUGCAAGUCGAGCGAGCGGCGGACGGGUGAGUAAUUUCUGGGAAACUGCCUGAUGGAGGGGGGUAACUCCUGGAAACGGUAGCUAAUACCGCCUACCAUCUGAUGUGCCCAGAUGGGAUUAGCUAGUAGGUGGGGUAACGGCUCACCUAGGCGACGAUCCCUAGCUGGUCUGAGAGGAUGACCAGCCACACUGGAACUGAGACACGGUCCAGACUCCUACGGGAGGCAGCAGUGGGGAAUAUUGCACAAUGGGCGCAAGCCUGAUGCAGCCAUGCCGCGUGUAUGAAGAAGGCCUUCGGGUUGUAAAGUACUUUCAGCGGGGAGGCGUUACCCGCAGAAGAAGCACCGGCUAACUCCGUGCCAGCAGCCGCGGUAAUUC